rnacentral:rRNA from 1 species
AUACGGAGGAUCCGAGCGUUAUCCGGAUUUAUUGGGUUUAAAGGGUGCGCAGGCGGCCAUUUAAGUCAGCGGUUAAACCGUGGGGCUCAACCCCAUUCUGCCGUUGAUACUGGGUGGCUUGAUUGCGGUCGAGGUUGGCGGACUUCGUUGUGUAGCGGUGAAAUGCAUAGAUAUGACGAAGAACACCGAUUGCGUAGGCAGCUGACCAGACCGCAAAUGACGCUCAUGCACGAAAGUGCGGGGAUCGAACAGGAUUAGAUACCCUGGUAGUCCGCACAGUAAACGAUGAAUACUUGUUUUCGGCGAUAUAAUGUCGGAGGCAAAGCGAAAGCGAUAAGUAUUCCACCUGGGGAGUACGCCGGCAACGGUGAAACUCAAAGGAAUUGACGGGG